CUUCAAAGCCGUUCCGCUUAAAUCAAGUUCGUACAACAUCUUCAUGGUGUCCAAGAUUUCUGGGAAAAUCUCCAAUCUCGAGCAACCUUUAAAAUAGAAUCUCUCGAGAGAUUUCAAUUUAUAAAAGCUGUCAGGAAGGCGAACAAGGUUUUCACAGUCAUCCAAGCUCAAAUGCACAAGACCAAUAAGAUUGCCAAUUGAGGAUGGUAAUUCCUUCAAAGCCGUUCCUCUUAAAUCAAGUUCGUACAACAUCUUCAUGGUGUCCAUGAUUUCCGGGAAAAUCUCCAAUCUCGAGCAACCUUUAAGAUAGAAUCUCUCCAGAGAUUUCAAUUUAUAAAAGUUGUCAGGAAGGAAAACAAGGUUUUCACAGUCAUCCAAGCUCAAAUGCACAAGACCAAUAAGAUUGCCAAUUGAGGAUGGUAAUUCCUUCAAAGCCGUUCC